rnacentral:lncRNA from 1 species
GUCAAUGUAUCUUUAUUUUUACAUUUUUUUUUUAAUUUUGUUUUUAAGUUUUCUUUUUCUUAAGUUUUAUAUCUCUUAUAUAUUAAAAGAUGAGCAUUUUUAACAAAAUCUCAUGCGUCAUAGGUUUAUUCAUAAAUUUGCCAUUGUGAUGUAGCAUCAUUACAAUUCUCUAAAUGAAUGCAUGUUUGUGUGUCAUCAUAUUUAACUACUCAAAGAAUAGAAAAACAAGAGAGAGAAGAGAGAAGUUUUUAUCUCUCUUGGCUCUCCCCACUCCGCCGCAAAAUCCUAGCGCUGCCGUUCUCAAUCUCGCGUUCAAGGGGGCUGACGGAUUUUCUCGCUGUUGGUUCCCUUCCUCCUCCGGUUCUAUGUUCGUCUUAGCCUCAUACAUCGACCCUAGCAACAGUCGUCACCCCUCUUUGUCUUGGUGCUCUGGAUCUCUUCCGCGUAAGACCUAAUCGAAAGUUGUG